AUUGAACGCUGGCGGCAGGCCUAACACAUGCAAGUCGAGCGGAAACGACAACAUUGACCCUUCGGGUGAUUUGUUGGGCGUCGAGCGGCGGACGGGUGGGUAAUGCCUGGGAAUAUGCCUUGAUGUGGGGGAUAACUAUUGGAAACGAUAGCUAAUACCGCAUAAUGCCUUCGGGCCAAAGAGGGGGACCUUCGGGCCUCUCGCGUCAAGAUUAGCCCAGGUGGGAUUAGCUAGUUGGUGAGGUAAAGGCUCACCAAGGCGACGAUCCCUAGCUGGUCUGAGAGGAUGAUCAGCCACACUGGAACUGAGACACGGUCCAGACUCCUACGGGAGGCAGCAGUGGGGAAUAUUGCACAAUGGGCGCAAGCCUGAUGCAGCCAUGCCGCGUGUAUGAAGAAGGCCCUUCGGGUUG
rnacentral:rRNA from 1 species